AGAGCUGCACGGAGGUUGGGCGGGAAGGUGAUCCUGUACUUUCAAGUUGGGAGGAGCAGGGUGUGGGGAGUUUCCAAGAGGAUUUUCAUAUGUUAAAGAAGACCCCCGGGAUCCUGCAGGUCCGGACAUUGUCGGGCUAAGAAGCUUUUUGCCGCUAGCAAAGCAGUAACGUUAGGCAGCUGGGAGUUCUCGGAGGAAGGUCACUCUGCCUGGCUCUAGUGUUUGUCCAUGGGCUGCAGGUUGUAAGGACAUUUAAUUUUAUCUACACGUCUUUUCCUUUUGUUCUCCUCAGCAAGUCUAAAGGCCAUCUUGCUGCUUGGGGAGGGUGGGUGCAGUUCCCGGGGCCCCAGUAGGUGGGGGAGUCUGCUUUAGGGAUGGGAUGGGGUGGGGUGCAGAGGGGCUGUCCAUUCUUGUGACGUUGCUUGUCGUACCCCGAAGAGGGGUGUGGCCUCCUUCUUGGAAGGCCCCAGAAUGGGAUGAGGGUUAGGGGCGUGGUUUCAGAGUUGAGGUGCCCCAUCCUCCCAGCCCUAGGAAAUAGCUGUGGGGCCCCCUGUGGGGCCUUCCAUCUGUGUGCCGGCAGGGACAGGUGGGGGGACAGGCUGGGACAGGCGGCUAGCAGUGUCUGGGGCGAGUGAUAAACAGCCCAAUCUAGACAGAUGGGGAGCGCAGGGACCUCUGGCCAGGAACCCGCUGCUGCGUCGUGGGGACGCCAGCCUGAGCCCAAACAAGCCGGUAAGUGUCCUCCAUCCUGGAGAGAUGAGGCUGUCACGGCGCUGGGCUCCCAUCCUGCUGGCACCUCUCUAGCUGUGUGACCUCCAGCAAGUCACCUGACAGCCCAGAGCCCAGGCUGCAUCGGGGGCGGAGCAGUGUCUCCUUGCAGGUCUGAUCCAGAGCAACAAAGGCAAAGCAGCUUGUCCUGAGGAGAGGCGACCUCAGGUGCUGUCCGCCUGUCCUGACCUUCAAGGCCAACUGCAUUGCCUCCCAGAUCCAGCAGAGCUGCAGAUGUCCCCAGCCAGCCCUGACCUUGACACCCCACCCCACCCUGCGGCUGGUCCUGGGUUCUAGAACUUUCCUGGCCAGCCUGAAUACUGACCGGGGCCUGAACUCUGAGCUGGAUGUUGGUUACAGGAGGGCCCGGGCUGCCCCCUGCAGGGUCCAGCUACCCCAGCCCCUCAUGCCCCUCUCAGCCACACUCUCCCCUUCCAGCCAACAGACAUCAUUAGAGCCAACCCCGAGGUGAGUGCUGGAUGGGAACUCAAGAUGCAGAUGCACCGGGAUCCCUGGGUGGCACAGUGGUUUAGCGCCUGCCUUUGGCCCAGGGCAUGAUCCUGGAGACCCGGGAUCAAAUCCCACGUCGGGCUCCGGGUGCAUGGAGCCUGCUUCUCCCUCUGCCUGUGUCUCUGCCUCUCUCUCUCUCUCUCUCUCUCUCUGUGUGUGACUAUCAUAAAUAAAAAAAUAAAAAAUAAAAAGAUGCAGAUGCACCAUGGUGUGGUCCCUGGCCCCAUGGACUUUGGGGUCUGGAGAAGGGAUGGGCAUGAACACUGUUCAAAGACAGCAUGUGAGUGAGGGUUGUGCACUGAAGUGUCCAGAGGCCGAGGGAGGGCCCCAGUUUGCCCUUGACACUCUCAGCUUACCAACAUUGCCCUGGUGCCAAUAGAGUGUUCCUUUGUACUCCCAAGUGUCCCAGUGUGGAUGACAAAUCUCCUGGGUGCCCUAGUGUGAGGGAAGUGAGGAGGAGGGUCACAUAUCCUCACUCAGAAGGCUGGGGGGCUUCCCAGAGGAGGGGGUAUCUGCCUAAGCUUCCCAAAGGUAAUGUGGGGUGAGGAGGAAAGGGCUGCCAUGGAUGGGGGGGGCCUGAAGCACGGCACCUGCUGUGGAGAAGAGAAAGAUGGGGACCUCACUGAAGCACGCUGGCACCGUUAGUGUAAAUCAAGUGGCUGUACGUGGUGGGUCUAUCUCUGGACUCCGUUUCCCUGCUCCACUUGCCUAGCCUUAUGCCAACACCACCCGAGUCUGUCACUGUAGUGUGAUAACCUGUCAUAAAAUCACGUG
rnacentral:lncRNA from 1 species